UUAGAUGAAGGGGAGCCCAAAGCUUCCGACAGAAUUCAUAACAGAAAAUAACUUGAUUAAAGCCUGACUCUUUUAAAAGGUAUGUCUGACCAGUGAGAUGCCAGCCUGCCUGUGAAGAUCCUGCAGCAGGAGUGCAUGACCUGUGACACUAGACUUCUUGCAAAUGAACACUAGAUAUGGUAACAUCCAGAAAAGGCAGAGACAAGAAAAUUCACAGUCUGAGUACUGGGGUGUUUGAGAUGGGGUCUAUCUACAUGUCUCUAGCUGUCCCUAUGUAGUGAUCGGGACAGAAUCUGGUAUGGCCUGCAGAGU
rnacentral:lncRNA from 1 species